CCUACGGGAGACAGCAGUCGAGAAUCAUUCACAAUGGGGGAAACCCUGAUGGUGCGACGCCGCGUGGGGGAAUGAAGGUCUUCGGAUUGUAAACCCUUGUCAUGUGGGAGCAAAUUAAAAAGAUAGUACCACAAGAGGAAGAGACGGCCAACUCUGUGCCAGCAGCCGCGGUAAUACAGAGGUCUCAAGCGUUGUCCGGAAUCACUGGGCGUAAAGCGUGCGUAGGCGGUUUCGUAAGUCGGGUGUGAAAGUCGCGGGCUCAACCGGCGGACGGCACAUGAUACUGCGAGACUAGAGUAAUGGAGGGGGGACCGGAAUUCUCGGUGUAGCAGUGAAAUGCGUAGAUAUCGGGAGGAACACUCGUGGCGAAGGCGGGUUCCUGGACAUUAACUGACGCUGAGGCACGAAGGCGAGGGGAGCGAAAGGGAUUAGAUACCCUUGUAGUC
rnacentral:rRNA from 1 species